UAACCAUGAUUGGGGCAAAUGUUCAAAAAUUUAGAAUAUCUUUCCCAUGCUUCAUAUAAACUCUCUCUAUCUUCUUGAAAGAAUAGAGUGAGAUUUCUUCCCGAAUUA
rfam:Triticum aestivum genome assembly, contig: Triticum_aestivum_CS42_TGACv1_scaffold_393567_5AS